UCCAGUGCCCAGCCACCCACCGCCACGCUGUUGCGCGCCGCCGGGCGCGGCGACGGCGAUCUCCGGCCAGAUCCGGCUGAAGAGGCGAGUAGGAGUUGGAUCCUGUUCAGGGGACGGUGUGGAGAUGAUCUAGGAGGCGCGGGAGGAGGUCCAGCGGCGGGGUUAGCGUCGCCAGCCACCACGCCGACGCCCACCCUCGCACCGGCAUCACAUGAGGCAAAAAAUCGCAUAGACGCUCCUCCUCUCCCGGACAAGGUCUCAAAAGAGACGCCGCCGCCGAUCUGGGGAUACGCCGUCGCAGAUCACCAAGACGCGGCUGUCGCGGACCACCAGGACGUCAGCAGCGGCGGCGCCUCAGAUACGUCAUGGACCAGGACGCGGCCGUCGCCGAUCAGGAACAGGACACUGCUGUCGCGGAUCCCAGGACUGCCGGCGACGCCGCCUCAGAUACCCACACCAACCGCCAGCCGCUGCCCACCACAUCGACCAGCUCCAAGAUGGUGGUAUGCGGUUUUCUUGGCAGCGGCGUCGGGAUCAGGCUCCAGUUCCCCCUACCCCACAUUGUUGUUGUUGUUGCUGCUGCUCCAGUUCCAAUUCCAGCGAGUGCCAGCGAUGGGGAUGCUCGGAUCGCAGUCCCUGCUCUCAUUUUCCUCCAGCCUCUGGUAACCCUCCUCCUCACCCGCUUCGCCUAAGCGGGAUUCAUAGGGAGCAUCAGCUACGUCUUAUGUGGGGAUGAACCGAGUGAUAGGAAAAUAUUUUUUUGAAUGCAAUGGGAAGGCGAAAAACGACACGCCUUGGUGAAGCAACUCUGAGAUUCGGAAACAAGGACUCCUAUUUGUCUGUAGAGCAUGUGGAGCUGUUGGGCAAGCAGAGUUCUAUCUGGGUAUUCAGGUAGCUGAGGAUAACAGGGAAAAGGAAAAUCUCCAGGCUAUCAUGCAUACCAUGCACCUCUAAGGCUCGUGCUGUGAGCGUACUUUGGGGGAGGAGUACCACCCAUGGAUUGAUCCUUCGCUGGCAGGGCCGGGGCCAGGCCGGCGGUCAUGUCUUUCGGGUUGGCGGCGAGGGAGGAGCAGCAAGGCAAGCUCACGUUACCCAAGUAGCAGGCCUCUUGUGUCCUGAGUCCUGAUGCCACGGGUAGCUGGAGCUGAUGUUGCCCUUGGUUUAUGCACGA